CCUUUAAAAGCUCCAGAAGUUCACCCUCGCUGACUUUUGCUCCUCCUGCCUUUAGGAGCCUUCUCAGCAAACAUACACAAGAGUGACGAUCUGUGCUCUCUAGGUUACCCACACCCUGAGUGUCUUUCACAGAGCAGAAGUUUUAGUUUUAAGGCCGUCCACCUUCUUUCUUCCGUGGAUCACCCCUUUGUUGUGGUUAUCUAAAAAGGCAUCACCCAACCCAUGGUCUGCUGCCUAGAUAUUCUCCUAGUGUUCACCAUUUUCUAUUGGGUUGUCUUCUUAUUUUUGAGGUAAUUUUGUGAUGGUGAUCUCAGCCACCUGCCCAGCCCUGGAGAUGCUGAAGGGACAGGUCAGAUUUGGGUGACCAACACCUGCUGCAUGGAGGGCUUGGGGACACCAGGAUCUCCUAGGUGACCCACAGGCCUGGGCCUUUCUCCCUGAGAGCCCACACUACCACCUCCCUGACUGCAGAGACACCGAGGCCUGCCUGGUGUGUGAAUCCCUGCCUGGGGCCCCCAGACCACUCCUGAUGGAAGGAUCCCACCAUCCAGCCCCUUCAAAACCUUGUCUGUCAGUCCCCACAGCCCCCUGAAAUGGUCUCCCUCAUGGCCAAAGGCCCCACAGCUCUGACUCAUGUGCCCAGAACCCAGAUACAGUGUGGCUUCUCCCCUCCUGCAGAGUACCAGGAGGGCUCCCUCUCCUGGCCCACACCCUUCCCUUCCUUGCUCGCUAGUUACCUGGAUUCUGUGCAUCAGCUUGCCAGGGAGAGGUUGGGCAGAGAACCUGGCUACCGAGUCUCAUGCACUGCUUGUAAGGGUCAGGAAGGCAUGGCUUCCAAAGGGCUGCAGCUGUCAGGGGGCCUGGGUGGCUCAGUGGGUUCUGCUUUCAGCUCAGGUCAUGAUCCCAGGGACCUCGGAUUGGGUUCCCUGCUGGGUGGGAAGCCUGCUUCUCCCUCUCCCACUCCCCCUGCUUGUGUUCUCUCUCUUGUUGUGUCUCUAUCAAAUAAAAUCUUAAAAGAAGAACAAGAAGGGGAACAAGAAGGGGAACAAGAAGGAAGAGGAGGAGGAGGAGGAGAAAGUCAGUCUCACAGCCACAGCAUCAACAGCACUGUCCGGAGCCAACAUCUGUGGAGGCUUUUUUUCUGCCCUAUUGAGACUGUUCUCAGUGCUUCGCAAGAACUGGCUCCUCUAUCCCCAGCAAAGGCCCCAAGAAAUAAGUCCUUUUUGGUAAAGACUGUGUAUGUAUGCAUUUGAGAGCAAAAGAGAGCACAAGCAGGGAGAGGGAGCAUCGAGGGAGAAAUGAGGAAGAAGUGAGGGGGAGGGAGAAGCAGACUCCCCGCUGAGCAGGGAGCCCAAUGUGGGGGAUCUAUCCCAGGACCCUGGGACCUAAGCUGAAGGCAGAUGCUUAACUCACUGAACUGCCCAGGCGCCCUAGAAAUAUCUCCAGAGGCUGGUUGGGAGGGAGCCCACAGUGUGGCCCUUCCCCACAGAGCCUGCAGGAGGUCAGUCGCAGGCCACGGUUCGGUGGCUCCAUUCUGUAGGCAGCAGGAAAUGGAAGAUGAGGGAGAACCAGACACCCAAAGAAGGACAAGGUCGCUGAGGGGAAGUCCAGGUCCCACAACCAAGGCUCUGGCAUUGGAGCAAAACUCUAGGGACACACACACACACACCCCACACAGCUUUCUUUGGAGGCCGACCAUGAAAAUGUGUCUGAGGCCUAGGGUGAUGAGGCCUAGAGAGGGGUGGGUUUCCAGCUGGAGGGGUCUGGAAGGCAUCCCCGGGGAAGGCUGCUGCUGAAUGGAGAUAGGAAAGUCCAGGACCAAGUGGAGGAAAGGCCAUCCUGGAGAGGACAUUGGUAUGCCCCAAUUUUAUAAUUUUAUUAUUACUAUUUUUUAAGUAGGCUCCAAGCCCAACGUGGGGCUUAAAUUCAUAUAAGGUUAAGAGUUGCACGCUCUAACACUGAACCAGUCAGGUGCCACUUGAUUUUUAGUUUUAAUGAUAUUAAAUCCUCAUUUUGGGGCACUUGGGUGGCUCAGUGGGUUAAAGCCUCUGCCUUUGGCUCAGGUCAUGAUCCCAGAGUCCUGGGAUAGAGCCCCACGUCGGGCUCUCUCCUCCUCGGGGAGCCUGCUUCCUCCCUCUCUCUCUGCCUGCCUGCCUACUUGUGACC